rnacentral:rRNA from 1 species
AAGACUCUCGGCAACGGAUAUCUCGGCUCUUGCAUCGAUGAAGAACGUAGCGAAAUGCGAUACUUGGUGUGAAUUACAGAAUCCCGUGAACCAUCGAGUCUUUGAACGCAAGUUGCGCCCGAAGCCAUUAGGCCGAGGGCACGCCUGCCUGGGUGUUGCACAU